UCUAUUCAUCUAAAUCUACUUCUAUGCUCCACAAUCAAAAACUUCUUUAUGCCGCAAUCCUUGUCUUCUUUUGCUUGAAGUCUCCUACUUACUCUAUAAAACUAAAUUACAAUCCAAUCUCCUAUGAAACCUCGAUCCAAAUUUCUAUGCUAUCUAAUAAUUCUAACUUUCUAGUGAGCACAAACUCUUUAAGUAACAUCCACA
rnacentral:lncRNA from 1 species